AACGAACGCUGGCGGCAGGCCUAACACAUGCAAGUCGAGCGAACCCUUCGGGGUUAGCGGCGGACGGGUUAGUAACGCGUGGGAAUAUACCCUUUGGUACGGAAUAGCCUCGGGAAACUGAGAGUAAUACCGUAUGUGCCCUUCGGGGGAAAGAUUUAUCGCCAAAGGAUUAGCCCGCGUUGGAUUAGAUAGUUGGUGGGGUAAUGGCCUACCAAGUCUACGAUCCAUAGCUGGUUUGAGAGGAUGAUCAGCAACACUGGGACUGAGACACGGCCCAGACUCCUACGGGAGGCAGCAGUGGGGAAUCUUAGACAAUGGGCGCAAGCCUGAUCUAGCCAUGCCGCGUGGACGAUGAAGGCCUUAGGGUUGUAAAGUCCUUUCAGAUGGGAAGAUAAUGACGGUACCAUCAGAAGAAGCCCCGGGCUAACUCCGUGCCAGCAGCCGCGGUAAUGUAGACGU
rnacentral:rRNA from 1 species